GCCUUAUAACUGCUGAUAUUAAUAAGAAUUGCAAAGACAUCGGAAGCAGAAAGUUUUACUUCCUCCUAUCAAACUUGUGUAUGUAACAUGCAUAAGACACACAUUCAACUAAGAAAGGCCUUUCUCUCCUCAAUUGGAGAGGGCUAGAGCUGCACUCCUGUGUACAUGUGGGUAGAGGCUCUGGACAUUUGUCUAUAGGCCUAUUCACAAAGCUGGCAGUGUUAAAACUGAAAGCAGUUCAUGGGAUGAUUAAAAAGUCCAUGGACUACAAGGAGAGACUACUGAUUGGAGAAGCCUCUUCCUUGUCAGGGUAGGUUCUGCGUGCUGCCGAUACAAUAACUAGGGACUUUAAAGGUAGGUAUUGGUUUUCAU